rnacentral:rRNA from 1 species
UACAGAGGUCUCAAGCGUUGUUCGGAUUCAUUGGGCGUAAAGGGUGCGUAGGCGGCGCGGUAAGUCGGGUGUGAAAUCUCGGAGCUCAACUCCGAAACUGCAUUCGAUACUGCCGUGCUUGAGGACUGGAGAGGAGACUGGAAUUUACGGUGUAGCGGUGAAAUGCGUAGAUAUCGUAAGGAAGACCAGUGGCGAAGGCGGGUCUCUGGACAGUUCCUGACGCUGAGGCACGAAGGUCAGGGGAGCAAACGGGG